rnacentral:tRNA from 1 species
GCCCGGGUAGCUCAGUGGUAGAGCAGCUCACUCGUAAUGAGCAGGUCAGGGGUUCGAAUCCCCUCUCGGGCU